AGGAGUGGAGCCUGCGGCUUAAUUUGACUCAACACGGGAAACCUCACCAGGCCCGGACACCGGAAGGAUUGACAGAUUGAGAGCUCUUUCUUGAUUCGGUGGGUGGUGGUGCAUGGCCGUUCUUAGUUGGUGGAGCGAUUUGUCUGGUUAAUUCCGAUAACGAACGAGACUCUAGCCUGCUAACUAGGCGUAUUUCGACAUCCCAAAGGCCCGCCGGUUUGGAGUUCCGACUCCUUUCUGCGCGCGGUUUUUACUGUCGGCGUACAAACAAUUCUUCUUAGAGGGACAGGCGGCUUCUAGCCGCACGAGAUUGAGCAAUAACAGGUCUGUGAUGCCCUUAGAUGUUCUGGGCCG
rnacentral:rRNA from 1 species